UAGAGUUUGAUCCUGGCUCAGAAUCAACGCUGGCGGCGUGCCUCAGACAUGCAAGUCGAACGAUUAAAGCUCUCUUCGGAGAGUGCAUAAAGUGGCGCACGGGUGAGUAACACGUAAGUAAUCUACCUUCGAGUGGGGAAUAACAGUCGGAAACGACUGCUAAUACCGCAUAAUGCAGCGGCAUCUAUGAUGACAGUUGUUAAAGGAGCAAUCCGCUUGAAGAGGAGCUUGCGGCAGAUUAGCUAGUUGGUAAGGUAAUGGCUUACCAAGGCUACGAUCUGUAUCCGGUCUAAGAGGACGGUCGGACACACUGACACUGAAUAACGGGUCAGACUCCUACGGGAGGCAGCAGUCGGGAAUUUCGGGCAAUGGGGGAAACCCUGACCCAGCAACGCCGCGUGAAGGAUGAAGUUUUUCGGAAUGUAAACUUCGAAAGAAUGGGAAGAAUCAAUGACGGUACCAUUUAUAAGGUCCGGCUAACUACGUGCCAGCAGCCCCGGUCAA
rnacentral:rRNA from 1 species